rnacentral:rRNA from 1 species
GACGAACGCUGGCGGCGUCCUUAACACAUGCAAGUCGAACGGAAAGGCCCUGCUUUUGUGGGGUGCUCGAGUGGCGAACGGGUGAGUAACACGUGAGUAACCUGCCCUUGACUUUGGGAUAACUUCAGGAAACUGGGGCUAAUACCGGAUAGGAGCUCCUGCUGCAUGGUGGGGGUUGGAAAGUUUCGGCGGUUGGGGAUGGACUCGCGGCUUAUCAGCUUGUUGGUGGGGUAGUGGCUUACCAAGGCUUUGACGGGUAGCCGGCCUGAGAGGGUGACCGGCCACAUUGGGACUGAGAUACGGCCCAGACUCAUACGGGAGGCAGCAGUGGGGAAUAUUGCACAAUGGGCGGAAGCCUGAUGCAGCAACGCCGCGUGCGGGAUGACGGCCUUCGGGUUGUAAACCGCUUUCGCCUGUGACGAAGCGUGAGUGACGGUAAUGGGUGAAGAAGCACCGGCUAACUACGUG